UUGUCAGUAUGAACCAUGUGAUCCUCACAAGACGGGUACUGCGGGCAGCGCACGUGCAUGACACGGGUAGCGUGUGCAGAGCACGUGCAUUGCGUGUCCGAGGCAAGGUGUUGGCUGCCAGUCGCAUCCCAGUUGACACCGGCUGUUCCAUCAUUUGGGGCUGUUCCAUCAAUGUUGUUCUGCUCAGCAUAUUGAAAAUAAUACAUAUUUGUGUUUUACAUUCAUGACGGUUCAUAAGUCGGAUAAAACACUCCCCCUCGGUCUUGGUCGGGAUUGUAAAACCCUCGAGCAGCAGGGAAGGAGCUUGUAAAAC